GACGAACGCUGGCGGCGUGCUUAACACAUGCAAGUCGAACGGAAAGGCCCUGCUUUUGUGGGGUGCUCGAGUGGCGAACGGGUGAGUAACACGUGAGUAACCUGCCCUUGACUUUGGGAUAACUUCAGGAAACUGGGGCUAAUACCGGAUAGGAGCUCCUGCUGCAUGGUGGGGGUUGGAAAGUUUCGGCGGUUGGGGAUGGACUCGCGGCUUAUCAGCUUGUUGGUGAGGUAGUGGCUUACCAAGGCUUUGACGGGUAGCCGGCCUGAGAGGGUGACCGGGCACAUUGGGACUGAGAGACGGACCAGACUGCUACGGGAGGCAGCAGGGGGGAGUAUUGCAGAAUGGGCGGAAGCGUGAUGCAGCAACGCCGCGUUCGGGAUGACGGCCUUCGGGUUGUAAACCGCUUUCGCCGGUGACGAAGCGUGAGUGACGGUAAUGGGUAAAGAAGCACCGGCUAACUACGUG
rnacentral:rRNA from 1 species